GAUGAACGCUGGCGGCGUGCCUAAUACAUGCAAGUCGAGCGAACGGACGAGAAGCUUGCUUUUCUGAUGUUAGCGGCGGACGGGUGAGUAACACGUGGAUAACCUACCUAUAAGACUGGGAUAACUUCGGGAAACCGGAGCUAAUACCGGAUAAUAUUUUGAACCGCAUGGUUCAAAAGUGAAAGACGGUCUUGCUGUCACUUAUAGAUGGAUCCGCGCUGCAUUAGCUAGUUGGUAAGGUAACGGCUUACCAAGGCAACGAUGCAUAGCCGACCUGAGAGGGUGAGCGGCCACACUGGAACCGAGACACGGUCCAGACUCCUACGGGAGGCAGCAGUAGGGAAUCUUCCGCAAUGGGCGAAAGCCUGACGGAGCAACGCCGCGUGAGUGAUGAAGGUCUUCGGAUCGUAAAACUCUGUUAUUAGGGAAGAACAUAUGUGUAAGUAACUGUGCACAUCUUGACGGUACCUAAUCAGAAAGCCACGGCUAACUACGUG
rnacentral:rRNA from 1 species